rnacentral:lncRNA from 1 species
ACGAUCUGGUUUGAGAAACAGCUGCUCCCCCUGCACAAUUUUCAUCUUAAGGAUCUUAACCCAUUAAGGACCAAGCGGCGAGGGUCUGCGAUGAAGAGAAGAAUAUCAAGCAAAUGGAAUUUCCUUUCACAACCACAACGAUAGAAAGCAAAAUGAGAGGAAAAAUUGCGAGUGAAAUGUUGCGUUCGCACAACGUUGACUAUUAACAGCGGCGGAUCAAGAGGAGGGGCGAUAAGGAUAUCAGAUAGAGAUAUUAAAACAUAAAUUACCUACGAAAUAUAAAUGAAGCAUAUUUUAAUGUGCGGAUUUGUGCGGAUUUCGCUCCUCCUCCAAGAAAGGCUACUGGAUCUGCCAUUGACAUUUAAUGGGUUAAGAGAUUGCGAAUUUGAUCGCAUUCAAGGCAUGGACGAAGUUCACCGACGGCGAUGACAGUCUCGAAACGCAAGCAGCGAGGCUAAUUAAUGGUUACAAUGAUCCUGUGCUAACGAUGACAAUGACGUGUUGCGAUCAGACGAAGCGCGAAUGUGACGAGGAGAGGGAGAGCAAGAGAGAAAGAGAGAGAGAGGGAGGGAGAAGAAACGUCGUCUCAAUGAAGGUAAGUAAAAGAUAUGUACACAGAAAUGUCAGCAUGCACGCGGAAUUUGCGAGGUCGUAACAUGCUCGGUAAUAAUCGUCGUCGAACGCAAAUCAAGGGGAAAUCCCUUCGAACGAUUAAAUUACAUCGUAAAUAAGGUUCGUUUGGUAGAGAUAGCGCCCACGUUGCGCCUUUUCACGGAUCGGUUUAAGUAAAAUAGCAAUUUGCUCUCUUGUCUAUCGAUUUUCGGAGAAACCAGUUAAGCGUGUGUACAAGACGGAACAUAACGUUAUCGAGCCGCGGAAUUGUUCUGAAUAAUCGUAAACUUCGAUUAGUAAUUAGCAUUACUGUAACCUAUCCCAAUCGUUCGAAGGGGUAAUUCUCAGUA